rnacentral:pre_miRNA from 1 species
GCUUAAUGGAAAUAGUUUUUUCUCACACACUGGUUUACAUUUAUUCACUGUCUCAUAAAAUGAUAUGAAAUUGAAUAGUCGAAUAAUAUGUGCAGUGUUUGUAGUUAUUCCAUAUAUC